rnacentral:lncRNA from 1 species
CUAGAAGGUUGCAAGGGAGGCAGGAGCUGUAGACACUGCUCCAGAAAUAAACAAACUAUGUUUAUUCCAGCUUCCAACUGCCUCCUUCAUAAAAUCCCUUCUUGCUGGACUCUUCAGGAUCAUCAGCAGAAUUUGUCACCUUUUUGUUGUCUUGAAUUUGUUUGCCAUAGUAAGUGAAUUCUGCAUCAUCAGGCCAAAGACAGGGGAAAACAACAAACUCCACUUAAGAAAGCUGAGAAGAGGGAAGAGCAAUAAGGCCUGUCCUCUCUGUCACCUAGUUAUGCCUCCUGAAGCCUCUUUUUCCCACCAAUGGGUCGGCUAUUCUUUGCUACAGAAGCUUGUUCACUGAGACCAUUCUCUGCGUUCUCGCAGGAUUUUGUGGAGAACAGGAAGAAACACAAAGUCUUGUGUUUGUGGUAUAGCAAAGAAGAGAACUCUGAAGAGCGGCUUUUUAGCUUUUGUUAUGGUUUACCAGUUUUCCAUCACAAGCUGCAAGGAGCAAUACCUGGCCCAGGAGGCCAGAAGAGAGACAAUACCUCAGCAGAUGAGGCUGGAUCUUGA